rnacentral:rRNA from 1 species
AUUGAACGCUAGCGGGAUGCUUUACACAUGCCAGUCGAACGGCAGCACGAAAAGAGCUUGCUCUUUUUGGUGGCGAGUGGCGAACGGGUGAGUAAUGUAUCGGAACGUACCCAGUAGCGGGGGAUAACUACGCGAAAGCGUGGCUAAUACCGCAUACGCCCUACGGGGGAAAGGGGGGGAUCGCAAGACCUCUCACUAUUGGAGCGGCCGAUAUCGGAUUAGCUAGUUGGUGGGGUAAAGGCUCACCAAGGCAACGAUCCGUAGCUGGUUUGAGAGGACGACCAGACACACUGGGACUGAGACACGGCCCAGACUCCUACGGGAGGCAGCAGUGGGGAAUUUUGGACAAUGGGGGAAACCCUGAUCCAGCCAUCCCGCGUGUGCGAUGAAGGCCUUCGGGUUGUAAAGCACUUUUGGCAGGGAAGAAACGGCGCUGACUAAUACUUGGCGCAACUGACGGUACCUGCAGAAUAAGCACCGGCUAACUACGUG